GAACUCCUGCAUGAGGGAGCUACCAGAGGCCUGCUUUGCUACCCAAGUGCUUCAAGACUUUAGGAGCCUCCCAGUGAAUCCUUGGUUUGCCUUGUCCCUGGCUUUGGCUUCUGACCCCUUUGGUUCAUCCUGAUUUUGGCUACCACUUCUGAAUCUGGUUCUGACACCAGACCCCUCUGGAUACCAGGUCCCUGGGGGACCAACCUGAACUACACCCAAACUUUGGAUCUUUUAAGUGAUGAAACUCCAAAUAAACUAUCAG